rnacentral:tRNA from 1 species
UGGGUUGUAGCUCAGUGGUAGAGCGCUUGCCUCUCAUGUGUGAGGCUCUGGCUUCAAACCUCAGCACCACAU